UCUUUUUGACUGAAUACAUGUUUGUUUUAUUUGUCUAUAUCCUAGAUUCACAGCUGGACACAUCCUUCUACACUGUAUGCAAACAUGCAACAUCAUUACACACAGUACAAGGAGUCAGACUGGCAUAUGAGGAGCAAAGGAACCCAGGCAGUAGCAUCGUUUCACAAUGUUUCCAUCACCAUCAUCAGUGGAUGCCUUUGCCGUCCGUAGCCUGAGAUUUCAGAUUUGCAGCAAAAAAAAUUUAUUUUCUCAUUUAUUGGAAUGCUGUGCAGGUUGUACCUUGGAGCCAUCCAUUACAAUGUCACCAAGCCGUAACAAAAGCAGGAGAGGGAAAGUACAAGGCUAUGUUCCCAAAACACACAAGUGACAUACCUUAUGUGGAGGAUGUGAUCAGGCUUGUGUUUGAUGAGGUAUUUGAAGAUAAGCUGAAGGAAACCCCGAUUCCAAUGGACCUGGCAUCACAGUUUGAGAGACCUUCAAAGGAGGACGUGAUUGCAUGCCA